GAUGAACGCUGGCGGCAUGGCUAAAACAUGCAAGUCGAACGAUCCCUUCGGGGAGAGUGGCGAAAGGGCGAGGAAUAGAAUCGAAUGUACCCCAAGGUGGGGAGUAGCCUCUGGAAACGGAGGGUAAUACCCAUGUGCUCUACGGAGGAAAGGUUUACCGCCUUGGGAGCAGCGAUUCUCCUAUCAGGUAGUUGGUGAGGUAACGGCUCACCAAGCCGAAGACGGGUAGCGGGUGUGAGAGCAUGACCCGCCGCAUCGGGACUGAGACACUGCCCGGACUCCUACGGGAGGCGUGCAGUAACGAAUCUUCCGCAAUGGGCGAAAGCCUGACGGAGCAAUGCCGCGUGUGGGAU
rnacentral:rRNA from 1 species